UACGUAGGGGGCAAGCGUUGUCCGGAUUUAUUGGGCGUAAAGAGCGUGUAGGCGGCCAGGUAGGUCCGUUGUGAAAACUCGAGGCUCAACCUCGAGACGUCGGCGGAAACCCUCUGGCUAGAGUCCGGAAGAGGAGAGUGGAAUUCCUGGUGUAGCGGUGAAAUGCGCAGAUAUCAGGAGGAACACCGGUGGCGAAGGCGGGACUCUGGGCCGAUACUGACGCUGAGGAGCGAAAGCGUGGGGAGCAAACAGG
rnacentral:rRNA from 1 species